ensembl:lncRNA
ACAUGUUCAAUUUGUUCAGCUUGGUGCAUGGGCCAAUGCCAUUUGAAUUUUUAUACGUUUUAGUUUUUGCAGGCACAGAAAUCAAUCACACUUGACAUCCAUGCUUCCAGCGCAUAAUGGAACUGCUACCCAACACACUUUGAAAAGAGGGAGUGCACUUUUACCACUGUUGCAAGCUAAACUCCUGACCAGUUCAGUCGGGGGAUGCUGUAUUGGUACCUUGCUCAUUGUAAAAGGUAAGUGCUGCUGCUGCUGUCACUGUUGCCUAUCUACUGCUCUUUGGAUUUGUGACUGUGCAAUUGGCCUGUACCAGCUACUACUUGUGUGGGGGGUGAGUAUGUAAGAACUCACUCUUACAUGGACUUACCACAAGCUAAGUGAAGAAUAAGCAGCAGGGAGUGGGCCAUAGGGGUACUGCUCAGCCAUCCCCACUUUUUCUACAAAGGAUGCCCUUUUGGGGCUGCUUGUGGAACAGCACAGUGGGUUCUGUCAGUUGUUCAUAUGUACAACUCUCCUUGGUAGUCCAGCAGCUAUUCUGGUCAACCUUUAGGAUCCACACAAGGUUUUUUUUUCUGGAUUCAGUAUCUAAAGACCAUCCAUCACAAGAAUCUGCCUGAUGGCACUGUUGAGCAUUUUGAAAUAUUGACAUUUCAUCCCCCCUUGCCACUUCCCAUUCCAAAGAACGUGGUGCCUGGCAGUUUGGCACUGUCACAACAAACACAUCUCAUUUACAAGGUGCAUCACUCUCACAGGAGCACUUGAUUAACUUCAAAAUAUCUAAAGGAGCAAGUUAAACAUUGUCUGGUACAGUUUUUGGAAACAAAGACUUGGAACUGUCAUUGUGUAUCCAUCCAUACUGCAGUGGAUCAAGUGGCAGUGCAUCUAGAAGAUCCACAGCACUUUUCCACAUAAAUGCCUGAAUAUGAGCUAGUUUUACAUUUUCUAUAAAUGCUUCAGCUUUGGCAUUGACAUGAUACUUUUGCCAAUUUUCCCUGCCCAUGAUUUCUGCCAUGAUGGCACAAUUUAAUUGUCUGUACCAUGUAGCCAAGCAUUGCUGCAUUGAUGUCAUGCAGCAGAGAGAGGGAGUAUCCAGCUUACAGAAUCUUCAACACAGUGCCUUUGUCAAGGUCAAAACAGGAAGUUACUGUAUCACAGCCUGAGAGCGCAUGGUCAGCUAACAGUCCUGGUACAAUACUCAAGUGUUGCUCUGAGGUAGCAUGGAUAUCUAUUACAGCACUCGGUUGGGUUGGGGGUUCCAUAAUCACUAAAGAUGUUAGGCCCUGUUCAAGAUAAUGGUGCAAGAGUACGAAAAAUAUGUCAAUGUCAUCCAAUAAUACUGAUAUUCCCACUAGUUUCUCUUUUGUAAUCAUCACCAUUUCUUAUACAAGAACGUUGUCACUUCCUCGUGCAAAGUGGCCACAUCUUCUCUGUUAAUCACAACACUUUCCUGCUUUAUUUCAGCUGGCUUGUUGUCUCUCCCUGUGAUGUCUAGCUUGUGAUAUAGAAUGUGUCAUUGGUGAAACUUCUUGUCUUGAAUGAGUUCUUAACAAAUGAUAUCAAAUCAACUGUUUCUUAUUUUCAGUACACACCAAGACAACUUUCUGUAGAGAUACCUGUGCACUUGUACUCAAGUGAUGCAUUCUGGUUGCUUUUGUAACUCUGCUAGAUCUUGUGACACUCUUUGCGCUCAUAUCUUUGUACCUGUCAAAGACAAGGUGGUAUACAUAUCUGCUGCCUUCUUGUGUUGAGUGUAGACUCUGAAAUUGGUCAAAGUUCUUGAUGAUACUACUUGCUGGCCAAAGAACUGUGGAACUGUCAGUGACUGUGCAGGUGACUUCUUGUGAAAUAUGUCUAGUUGACAACACUGUCUGCAGCUGCUUUUUUAGACUUGAAACCAGUCAUUGAACACUGAUGUUGGUACAGGAGCCAAUACAUGUGAUCAAAUAUGCUUGUCGUCAAUCUCUCAUGAACUGGUUUCUAGGCCUAUCGCUCUUGAAUAGAUAAGUUUAGAGUCAAAUACCUUUGCUGGGUCAACCUAUAUAUGCUUUUUGUUGUUGUUGUCAUUUUCAGUAUCUCUACUCUCCUUGGUAUUUCAUCACAGAACCCUGUGGGGACAGCUUCCAUUUGGCAAUUCGAAUUGUAAGUACAUCAUCCACACUGACUGAUGGUAGUGCCACUUAGCCACUGACAACAUUUAUUAUUGCUCUGGGUGCUUAGUGGGAGGUCUAACAGAUCAAUGCAAUGGAUAGAGAAGCCAUUAGUAGGAAUCCAGAGCUAUGUAUCUGUAGUAAUUCUUGACUUCAUUUCUUCUUUAUGGAUCUCUUGUAUUUGUGCUUGAUAGGUGUCAUUUAUGUUUCAGUGUCUUCUACGAGGCAACUGCAUAUGCGGAGGCUAAGAGCCCAAUUCUUGAGAGUUUCUGGUUUCAGAGUAAUCCAAAUGAUAGCACCAUGGCACACUCCAUAUACCAUUCCAUAUUUCUGGAACAUAGAGCAUGACAUGCUCACCCAUGAUGAACCACUCUAAGACAUUACCUGGCAUGGAUUCCAAGGAUUGAAGGUAAUCCAGCUGAAGAAAUGUAUGGGAGCAUCAUAAGUGCUCAUAUUUCAAAAUGCUCAGCAGUGACAAGGUGUCAUGAGGCAGUUUCUUUGGAUUUAGGGUCUUGAAAUUCAGAAUCUACCAGACUUUGGCCUUGGCAAAUGGAUUUUUUUCCAUUUUACAUGCUAACAGAAAUGGAAGGGGAGACAGAAGUCAGCCCAAUUAGAAAUUUAAGGUAACAUUUGGACUUGAACGAGGAGUAUUUGUGGCUUGAAUAAAGACUGGGAGUGGAUGGGUCA